UCCCCUCUUAUUUGAUACGUAUAAGAGUCUUCAAACGAUGGUACAACAACAGUAUCAUCUACCAGCAAACAACUUCAACACAUAGCAACAACAUACAAAUAACGACAAUAACUCCCAAACCUAUUUCUUGUUGCUAACAUCACGUUCAACGAAUGCUAACAUCACGUUCAACGAACAACAACAACAACAGCGAAGAACCCAGCAAAUCGACAAACAAUAACUCUCAACCCGUCAAUGACCCAUCAAAAUGGGUCCAACUUUGGCGACCCAUCCAAUAAUCAGAAAUCGGCCACUCGACCCAUGUCUGGCAGCAGCUUCAACGAAACUUCCAGAAAUGGGAUAGCUUAGCCAAUCAUUGAGCGUACGGAUGGUAUGAUUCUGUAAUGAAUCCAACGUAUCUCUUAUCCCAUUUUUGAAAUUCAAAAGUUUCCUAUGAGAAUCCCAAAAUUUCCCACAUUUUCUUUGUUUCCACAUCAAUUGAGCCUCAAAAAGAUGGAUUCCGUGGUUCUGUUAUAAAAUGCUCUUGGUUGAGCUAAAAAGGGGAUCAAAAAAAGUUGAAAAAGAGGGGAAAAAAUCCUCAAAGCUAAGAGUUUCCUUUCUCAGUAAAAAUUCUUUUUUCGUUCUUUUUUUUGAAAGUUGAUCGAUUAAUCAGAGGUUCUCGAGUUGAUAACACUGAUUUUUUUAUAGUGGUAGAUCCCGACGUCAGCUCAUUGUUCUAUUUUUCUCUCGAAAGCAAGGAUGAAGGAUGGAGUAGAGCAUUACUAUGGUCUACCUAUAUCUUUCGAGAGCCUAUUGGCCAAGGUCCUUCUUUGGAAUGUUUGGGAUUCUUAAAUGCAUUUCUGCCCUUGUUUUAUCGGGUUUGAUUAUCAUAUAGUGGUUGCCUUAAGUACUAAGGCCCUUGCUAUCAUAACUACUUGACUUGGUGUCCAUUGCAUUUCGAGUCCAAGAAAGGAAACUUUAGGUGUUCAUCAGUAUUUACUUAUUGAUUCUUGAAGUUUUGGCUGAGCAUUAGUAGUUCCUACUGGUGUCUUCUUGAAUGCAUUUUUUGAUAUAGAGGAUUCUUUCUCAAAGGGUUGCCUUUUAAGUUUCUGAUAAUGUCCCUUUAGGCCUGCCAAAUAUCUUCUUAAAAUCCCGGUCUAGAAAUAGAUUAAUUUUCUGGUUUCCUUUAUUGCUUUGGUAUCGGCCAAUUUUUGUGUUAAUGUUAUUCCCUUACGAGCAUAUCUCUUUGUUUGUUAAUCGACUUUUAUUUAUUGAAGAUCCAUGUUAUGUCGUUCUCUUUGGUCUAUUACGUAUAAGUUUUCCCUCUAUAUUCUUUUUUUAUUUGGUUGACUGCCUAAUGAUUAGUUUAAUUGUCAUAUCUUGAUUAUGCCUGUUGUUCGAGUUAACUUGUGUGUCUUACUACUUCCGGAUGUCCUUUGACUAUUUGUUUGGAUCCUUGUUGCUUUGCUUAUGUAGUUAAUAUGUAUAAAUUUUCUUCACAUUUGCUUGCCUCCUCCAGUUGAUCAUGUAUUAGCCAUUCUAGUUUCCUACUUCGGUUGAGCAUGCAUCGAUUUCCUUUACUCCAUCUUUUUCCCUACCUUUGCUGAAUAUAUAUUAAUGUGUUUUAUUUUCUUUCUUUGCAUAGAAAUCAUUUGAGUCCUACAUGGACUCGUCCUUUUUUUGCAUAUCUAUCAUAGCCAAUGAGGCCUAUUUUUUGAGUCAAGCCCAAAGGAGGUUUAAAGUCAAAUUACAUAUGGAUGCAAGGAGAUGAAAGAAGAAGAAGGGAUUAAGUCCUAUCUUUGAAGCGGCUGAACAGUCUCAUUUUUUCAUUUUUUUAUUUAUUUAUCUAUUGUCGUCUUUAUUUAUUUAUUUUAUUUAUUUAUCCAUUCAUUUGGGCCUCGAAGCCAAAGUUGUAUUAUAAUACAGAUGAUGCGACACUCGAGCAAAAAGUUUCGAAAAAUGGCUUAGGAAAGGUUAUGGACCGAAAGCCAAACACUUAGAUUAGGACAGGUGCAAAAAUGGGUCGGAAGCCCAAUUAGAUUUGGAUAGGUUUUGUUGAUUUGAGCCCAAUGGCCUAAGUCUUUU
rnacentral:lncRNA from 1 species